rnacentral:pre_miRNA from 1 species
AUCACCUGGGGAUCUUUUUAAAAUGCAGAUUCAGAUUCAGUAACAAUGAAGUGGUGCCUUGAUUCUGCCUUCCUAACAAGGUCCCAGGUGAUGUUAA